rnacentral:rRNA from 1 species
AUAAUCAUUAGUUUUUUAAUUAAAAUCUAGAAUGAAUGAUUGAAUGAAAAAUUAUCUGUCUCAUUAUUAAUAAUUUAAAAUUAAUUUUUAAGUAAAAAAGCUUAAAUUUUUUUAAAGGACGAGAAGACCCUAUAGAGUUUUAUAAAAAUUAAAUUUAUUUAAAUUUUUUUAUUAUAUAUUUAUAUAAUUUUUAUUUUAUUGGGGUGAUAAUAAAAUUAAAUUAACUUUUAUAAUUAAAUAUUCAUUAAUUUAUGAAAUUAAAAAAAAAUAAAAAUAUUAAUUAGAUGAUCUUAUAAUUUAGAUUAAUAGAAAAAAUUACCUUAGGGAUAACAGCAUAAUAAUUUUGGAGAGAUCAAAUCAAUAAAAUUUUUUAU